CGGUUAGUUCAGUUGGUUAGAACGUUUGAUUUACAUUCAAAAGGUCACAGGUUCGAGUCCUGUACCGC
rnacentral:tRNA from 1 species